UACGAAGGGGGCUAGCGUUGCUCGGAAUUACUGGGCGUAAAGCGCACGUAGGCGGUCUUUUAAGUCGGGGGUGAAAUCCUGGAGCUCAACUCCAGAACUGCCUUCGAUACUGGAAGACUCGAGUCCGGGAGAGGUGAGUGGAACUGCGAGUGUAGAGGUGAAAUUCGUAGAUAUUCGGCAAGAACACCAGUGGCGAAGGCGGCUCACUGGCCCGGUACUGACGCUGAGGUGCGAAAGCGUGGGGAGCAACAGGG
rnacentral:rRNA from 1 species